rnacentral:rRNA from 1 species
GCGUAGGGUGCAAGCGUUAAUCGGAAUUACUGGGCGUAAAGCGUGCGCAGGCGGUGAUGUAAGACAGGUGUGAAAUCCCUCGGCUUAACCGAGGAACUGCCUUCCAGACUGCUUGGCUUGAGACCAGGAGAGGUGAGUGGAAUUCCCAGUGUAGCGGUGAAAUGCGUAGAUAUUGGGAGGAACACCAGUGGCGAAAGCGGCUCUCUAGGCCGUACCUGACGCUCAGAUGCGAAAGCCAGGGGAGAGAACGGGA